AUUGAACGCUGGCGGCAGGCCUAACACAUGCAAGUCGAGCGGAUGAAGGGAGCUUGCUCCUGGAUUCAGCGGCGGACGGAUGAGUAAUGCCUAGGAAUCUGCCUGGUAGUGGGGGAUAACGUCCGGAAACGGGCGCUAAUACCGCAUACGUCCUGAGGGAGAAAGUGGGGGAUCUUCAGACCUCACGCUAUCAGAUGAGCCUAGGUCGGAUUAGCUAGUUGGUGGGGUAAAGGCCUACCAAGGCGACGAUCCGUAACUGGUCUGAGAGGAUGAUCAGUCACACUGGAACUGAGACACGGUCCAGACUCCUACGGGAGGCAGCAGUGGGGAAUAUUGGACAAUGGGCGAAAGCCUGAUCCAGCCAUGCCGCGUGUGUGAAGAAGGUCUUCGGAUUGUAAAGCACUUUAAGUUGGGAGGAAGGGCAGUAAGUUAAUACCUUGCUGUUUUGACGUUACCAACAGAAUAAGCACCGGCUAACUUCGUG
rnacentral:rRNA from 1 species